AUGAACGCUAGCUACAGGCUUAACACAUGCAAGUCGAGGGGCAGCAUGGUCUUAGCUUGCUAAGGCUGAUGGCGACCGGCGCACGGGUGAGUAACACGUAUCCAACCUGCCGUCUACUCUUGGCCAGCCUUCUGAAAGGAAGAUUAAUCCAGGAUGGCAUCAUGAGUUCACAUGUCCGCAUGAUUAAAGGUAUUUUCCGGUAGACGAUGGGGAUGCGUUCCAUUAGAUAGUAGGCGGGGUAACGGCCCACCUAGUCAACGAUGGAUAGGGGUUCUGAGAGGAAGGUCCCCCACAUUGGAACUGAGACACGGUCCAAACUCCUACGGGAGGCAGCAGUGAGGAAUAUUGGUCAAUGGGCGAUGGCCUGAACCAGCCAAGUAGCGUGAAGGAUGACUGCCCUAUGGGUUGUAAACUUCUUUUAUAAAGGAAUAAAGUCGGGUAUGCAUACCCGUUUGCAUGUACUUUAUGAAUAAGGAUCGGCUAACUCCGUGCCAGCAGCCGCGGUAAUACGGAGGAUCCGAGCGUUAUCCGGAUUUAUUGGGUUUAAAGGGAGCGUAGAUGGAUGUUUAAGUCAGUUGUGAAAGUUUGCGGCUCAACCGUAAAAUUGCAGUUGAUACUGGAUGUCUUGAGUGCAGUUGAGGCAGGCGGAAUUCGUGGUGUAGCGGUGAAAUGCUUAGAUAUCACGAAGAACUCCGAUUGCGAAGGCAGCCUGCUAAGCUGCAACUGACAUUGAGGCUCGAAAGUGUGGGUAUCAAACAGGAUUAGAUACCCUGGUAGUCCACACGGUAAACGAUGAAUACUCGCUGUUUGCGAUAUACGGCAAGCGGCCAAGCGAAAGCGUUAAGUAUUCCACCUGGGGAGUACGCCGGCAACGGUGAAACUCAAAGGAAUUGACGGGGGCCCGCACAAGCGGUGGAGUAUGUGGUUUAAUUCGAAGCAACGCGAAGAACCUUACCAGGCCUUGACAUCCCUUGCAGAGGUAUAGAGAUAUAUCCGAGGUUAUCAAGGAGACAGGUGGUGCAUGGUUGUCGUCAGCUCGUGUCGUGAGAUGUUGGGUUAAGUCCCGCAACGAGCGCAACCCUUGUUGUCAGUUACUAACAGGUGAUGCUGAGGACUCUGACAAGACUGCCAUCGUAAGAUGUGAGGAAGGUGGGGAUGACGUCAAAUCAGCACGGCCCUUACGUCCGGGGCUACACACGUGUUACAAUGGGGGGUACAGAGGGCCGCUACCACGCGAGUGGAUGCCAAUCCCUAAAACCCCUCUCAGUUCGGACUGGAGUCUGCAACCCGACUCCACGAAGCUGGAUUCGCUAGUAAUCGCGCAUCAGCCACGGCGCGGUGAAUACGUUCCCGGGCCUUGUACACACCGCCCGUCAAGCCAUGGGAGCCGGGGGUACCUGAAGUGCGUAACCGCGAGGAUCGCCCUAGGGUAAAACUGGUGACUGGGGCU
rnacentral:rRNA from 1 species